rnacentral:misc_RNA from 1 species
GAUGAAGAACGCAGUGAAAUGCGAUAAGUAAUGCGAAUUGCAGAAUUCAGUGAAUCAUCGAAUCUUUGAACGCACAUUGCGCCCGCUAGUAUUCUGGCGGGCAUGCCUGUCUGAGCGUCAUUUCAACCCUCAUGCCCCUAGGGCGUGGUGUUGGGGAUCGGCCAAAGCCCGCGAGGGACGGCCGGCCCCUAAAUCUAGUGGCGGACCCGUCGUGGCCUCCUCUGCGAAGUAGUGAUAUUCCGCAUCGGAGAGCGAUGAGCCCCUGCCGUUAAACCCCCAACUUUCCAAGGUUGACCUCAGAUCAGGUAGGAAUACCCGCUGAACUUAAGCAUAUCAAUAAGCGGAGGA